rnacentral:rRNA from 1 species
UGGGGAAUCUUGGACAAUGGGGGCAACCCUGAUCCAGCCAUGCCGCGUGGGUGAAGAAGGCCUUAGGGUUGUAAAGCCCUUUCAGUCGUGACGAUGAUGACGGUAGCGACAGAAGAAGCCCCGGCUAACUCCGUGCCAGCAGCCGCGGUAAUACGGAGGGGGCAAGCGUUGUUCGGAUUUACUGGGCGUAAAGGGCGCGUAGGCGGACGGUCAAGUCAGAGGUGAAAGGCCCGGGCUCAACCUGGGACGUGCCUUUGAAACUGAUUGUCUUGAGUGCGGAAGAGGGUGACGGAAUUCCCAGUGUAGAGGUGAAAUUCGUAGAUAUUGGGUGGAACACCAGUGGCGAAAGCGGCUCUCUGGUCCGGAUCUGACGCUGAGGCGCGAAAGCGUGGGGAGCAAACAGGAUUAGAUACCCCCGUAGUCC